rnacentral:rRNA from 1 species
GACGAACGCUGGCGGCGUGCUUAACACAUGCAAGUCGAACGGUAAGGCUCCAGCUUGCUGGGGUACACGAGUGGCGAACGGGUGAGUAACACGUGGGUGACCUGCCCUGCACUUCGGGAUAAGCCUGGGAAACUGGGUCUAAUACCGGAUAGGACCGCACCGUGAGGGUGUGGUGGAAAGUUUUUUCGGUGUGGGAUGGGCCCGCGGCCUAUCAGCUUGUUGGUGGGGUAAUGGCCUACCAAGGCGGCGACGGGUAGCCGGCCUGAGAGGGUGGACGGCCACAUUGGGACUGAGACACGGCCCAGACUCCUACGGGAGGCAGCAGUGGGGAAUAUUGCACAAUGGGCGGAAGCCUGAUGCAGCGACGCCGCGUGGGGGAUGACGGCCUUCGGGUUGUAAACUCCUUUCACCAUCGACGAAGGGUUUCUGACGGUAGAUGGAGAAGAAGCACCGGCUAACUACGUGCCAGCAGCCGCGGUAAUACGUAGGGUGCGAGCGUUGUCCGGGAUUACUGGGCGUAAAGAGCUCGUAGGUGGUUUGUCGCGUCGUCUGUGAAAUUCCGGGGCUUAACUCCGGGCGUGCAGGCGAUACGGGCAUAACUUGAGUACUGUAGGGGAGACUGGAAUUCCUGGUGUAGCGGUGAAAUGCGCAGAUAUCAGGAGGAACACCGGUGGCGAAGGCGGGUCUCUGGGCAGUAACUGACGCUGAGGAGCGAAAGCAUGGGGAGCGAACAGGAUUAGAUACCCUGGUAGUCCAUGCCGUAAACGGUGGGCGCUAGGUGUGGGUUUCCUUCCACGGGAUCCGUGCCGUAGCUAACGCAUUAAGCGCCCCGCCUGGGGAGUACGGCCGCAAGGCUAAAACUCAAAGGAAUUGACGGGGGCCCGCACAAGCGGCGGAGCAUGUGGAUUAAUUCGAUGCAACGCGAAGAACCUUACCUGGGCUUGACAUAUACAGGAUCGCGCCAGAGAUGGUGCUUCCCUUGUGGCUUGUAUACAGGUGGUGCAUGGUUGUCGUCAGCUCGUGUCGUGAGAUGUUGGGUUAAGUCCCGCAACGAGCGCAACCCUUGUCUUAUGUUGCCAGCACGUUGUGGUGGGGACUCGUAAGAAACUGCCGGGGUUAACUCGGAGGAAGGUGGGGAUGACGUCAAAUCAUCAUGCCCCUUAUGUCCAGGGCUUCACACAUGCUACAAUGGUCGGUACAGUGGGUUGCCAGUCCGUGAGGGCGAGCUAAUCCCGCAAAGCCGGUCUCAGUUCGGAUCGGGGUCUGCAACUCGACCCCGUGAAGUCGGAGUCGCUAGUAAUCGCAGAUCAGCAACGCUGCGGUGAAUACGUUCCCGGGCCU